rnacentral:rRNA from 1 species
AGUGAACGCUGGCGGUAGGCCUAACACAUGCAAGUCGAACGGCAGCACAGUAAGAGCUUGCUCGUACGGGUGGCGAGUGGCGGACGGGUGAGGAAUACAUCGGAAUCUACUUUUUCGUGGGGGACAACGUAGGGAAACUUACGCUAAUACCGCAUACGACCUACGGGUGAAAGCAGGGGAUCUUCGGACCUUGCGCGAUUGAAUGAGCCGAUGUCGGAUUAGCUAGUUGGCGGGGUAAAGGCCCACCAAGGCGACGAUCCGUAGCUGGUCUGAGAGGAUGUGCAGCCACACUGGAACUGAGACACGGUCCAGACUCCUACGGGAGGCGGCACUGGGGAAUAUUGUACAAUGGGCGCAAGCCUGAUCCACCCAUACCGCGUGGGUGAAGAAGGCCUUCGGGUUUUAAAGCCCUUUUGUUGGGAAAGAAAAGCAGCAGGUUAAUACCCCGCUGUUCUGACGGUACCCAAAGAAUAAGCACCGGCUAACUUCGUG